AUCUGCCAUUCUGUACCCACGACUACUCUUUCCCUCUCCCCUCUCGCCUCCGCCUUCCCUCCGACUUUUCCCUCGCCGAAAAACCAAUUCCAUGCUCCAGCAGCACGCAACCUCCUAUUCUCCAUUAUAGUAUUGCUCCCGCUAGGGUUCCAGCCGCCUCCAUGGAAUCCGCGGCCGUCUGCAGAUCCUUCACCAGCCGCCUUUUAGGUCCGCCUCGCCUCCCGCAGCCGGGAAUGCUUGGUCUCGGGCGCGUCUGGCCGCCUGCGCCGAGGGUUUGAGUUAUUGCAUGUGGUGGCACCAAGCAUGAGGCGACAACUGCAUUACUUGCAAGGAAGUUACAAAAUCUAUGGGUCAUCAUAAUCGUGACUUUCUUGCAAGUUGUGCAGUUGCUGUCUCAAGCUUGCUGACUCCGUUUGCCAGACCGCAAUGUGAAAUAGGAAAUUUAGUCAGCUCAACUGGCCCCGCAGCCGUGCCGGCAACUACUACAUGCAUCUAUGAUCACCAGGAAAUGCCUAAAUGAUCCAAUAAAUGGUUGAAUUGGGCCACUUAUGUCUUCUUAAAUAUGUUCAAGGAAAUUGGGAACGUAUUCUUAAUUUUGAGAACUUGUUUCCAGAUGUAAAACUUUAAUCGGAUAUCUCUAUACUUAAAAGGGUACUAGUGGAUUAAGGAUACAAGAGUGCAUCCUAAGUUGCAAUGGUUGUAUCCACGGGAAGAACAAUUAUGUGUCUACGAGAACCUCCAAUUGAUGCACCAUGUGAAGUCAUGUUGACAUUUUCUUUUCUCUUUGGUAAGGUUAUGGAAUAAAUUUUAUUUUCCCUAGUAUUGUGUUAGUGGUGUAUAUAUUCACUAAACAAGGUUCUUCCAUUCCUCUGUUUCCAUAUGCCGCUGCACCAUCAUCCACUGCCAUGCUGAGGUGGUGGAGAUUAGCAGGCAGCAGUCUUAAUGGCGUUGAUGGGGAGGUGUCUUCGCGGUGCUGAUGGGGAGGUUGAGACCUCGUGGAAUCCAUGUUCUCAGGCGGAGGCUAAGUUGGCGAUUUGUCACUGCAGUUGUGAAUCAGCAUAAGAGAUGGCACGCUUAGGUGCCGAGGGCCUCGCUAGAUCCAGAUGGAUUGUAGGAGCCGCAAUCUCGCUCGCCACUCUGCGGGGGUUUGUCAAGGUUGAUGGCGAGCCUCUACAGGGUGAUGUAGUGGCUUUUUUUUUUUGAAAAAACUCAGACUUUAUUCAUUUGUAAUAAGUAAUACAUCGUUUGUGAGGAUCAUUACAAUUUCAUUUAAGGGCUCCUCAAACCAAUCGGAAGUCAAAGAAAAUCUAGCUGGAAAUCAGGGUGAAUGGGUGAUGUAGUGGCUAGUCUGGAUGAAUAGGCAGAGGAAAGGCUGACGGGACGAAAUGACCCUCCUUACUUGAUCAGGUUAUGUAUGGUGUUCCUGGUGGUGGAGUUGGGCACAGUCUGAAACCGUCACAUGGAAGAAGUAUGGUUGUGGUGGGGUAAUGACAUGUUUAGCCCGACGAGCAGCCGAAUGGGGAAGGACGUGGCAGCCAAAGCAUUCACCUCCUAGUGCUGGUGACGGCCGGGGUGCUUGGUACUGGAGCGCCCGGACCAAGGUGUUGCAUUGAGCAUGUGUUGUAUACGUUGACAACAACGAUGAUGAUCUGACGCGUAGGGGUGGCGUCGAUGGCCACAUCCCGUACUUGCGCGGUGUCAGUGAGCACCCAUGUUGGUGCGGUAAUGGCGAAUGCCGUCGCCUCUUUUGUAAUGCCGAUCAUGAGCAAAAAGAGGGCAAAACGAAGCAG